UGGCGAUAUGGAAUAUCAAUGUAGACGUAAAUUAAAACGACGUGGAGAGGCUGCUAUUUCCCUGAACUAUCUUAUUCGACGUUACGAUAUAUAUGGAACAUAUUUCCCCAUUUAGAAUAAACUGGCGUUUACAUUCUCGCGAAUUUACUCAUGAGUAAUAACACUCGAAAAGCUACACUCAUAGAUAGACAUAUACGGACACGAGGACUCCAGUUCUCAAAAUGGCCAAGCCAAGGCUCUGAACUUCCGUGUCUCGUUCGCGCGCUCUGUAUUUCUCAUUCCGAUUCUCAUUUCCUUUAGGUAUUAUUAUACGCCGGCAGUACGGCAAUAUAACGCGUCGAACGUUUAUGCGAACGCGUGCGUCCCUCAACUGCCAUAUUUGAAUUUAAUAACAUCGCGGCUGAAUGCAGCGCCGAGCGUCGUGAGUUAAAAUGGAAUUAAACUUCUGACAUGGUCACAUCGUUCUACUAACGAAAAUUCAUAUCAACUUUAACACACAGUAUACUGUAUGUAUUUACACGUAAGUCCGUGAUUAAAAGGUUUGCAAAAGAUCAGCCACAAGAGCAACAGGUGACUUUGUUUUGGAAUAUUCGCUGGAAUUUCAUGGAUAAAAAUGCAUUGCCGCACCUCAAUUCGUUGCGACGGAGAAGUCCAAGCGAAUAUAUAACAAACUAACCUAAAAAUCAUCUAAUCCAGUGCGUGGGCAGAUUCUUGGCCUCGUCUUGACACGUGGCAUAAGGUAGUGUCUACUGAAUUUCACCAUAAGAAACACUCAAUGAACUCGAUGCACAUAAAUUCCCAUAGUCAAGUUUCACUUGGGCACCCGAAGGAACGUGAAAGGCGAGAGGAAGUGAAGGAAAAUCAAAGCUAAAAAGAAGACAGAGUGGAUGAGAAAAAGUAGAAGAAAAAUCUUGAAGGAAGAGGUGUGGAGAUCACUGAAGGCUGCUUUGUUUUUUUUUCUUCUAGGCGUCUGAGUUGUAGUCUGAAGUUCCUCCUCCUGCUUGAGACUUCUGGUUUUAAGACAAGGCUGCAGGCUGUCACAUUAACCCCUCAUUAGUGUGAAAUAUACACACCUUGCAUGCUUCUUCAGUAGGCUUAUUUCGACCUAACGCUGUAACGUUGUUGGGAUGUGUAUUUACAUUUAACAUAGAGGAACAGUGGCCUGAGGUAGCUAAGGUCGAGCCUCGUCAUACCUUGUGGGUGGCUGUGUUCGCGAUCUUGUACCAGCCUUGUACGCAAGGACCAGGAUUAUUUAUUGUAUAUGGCAACCAUGGACAAUCAGUAUGCCAUAGGUUAAGUUCAUCUUCAUGACUCUGUCAUACAUUGCUAAAAAAGGCUGGGACUUUUUGAGAACCUUCACACGAGAAUAUCGUAUAGCAAUCGUCUCAGUCAUUAAAUUCAGAUUGAAUGUAAAUGUUUAAUCUACAAUUGGUCUGGUUGUAAUAGAUUAAAAAUUUUUAAUGACUGUAGCAUGAUUAUUUGGAAAUUUAUAUUAUGCAAUUUGUGCUAUUGAUUACAUUGAAUAUCAAACCGUAAUCUUGACCUCAUUGAAUCGAUCGAUGAGAUUAAUACAAAUGGAAUUUAACGGCGACUUAUUAGAGGAUCUAUCGUUAGAAAGUUUUAUUCCUCUGAGGGAAAGGUUUGUUGAUGGUCCCUUUUAGAUUUUUUUCAAUUAAACCCGAACUCUCUCGUCUAUUCUGUUUGGACGGAAGGCAAAUACUACUAGUUUCCGCUGCUAACUACUGGCUGGUGGUACGGGCAGGGCCGUAUAAAUUGAUGGUACAAGGUUAUGUAUUCUUUUUUAAUCUUGAUCAAAUUGCAUAAGAUAAUUUGGCGACAUUAGCGGUACUUAUUGCCACGCGUGUCGAAAACACCGUGAUGUUUAUCGGUUUAAAAGUCGUUUUCCAUAACGGCGAUGACUUUCCAUUGUCGUUUACGCACGUCAUUAAACGGUCUGAUUCUUCCACUUUCGAUUUCACUUACUUCUGUAGCAGUAAAAAUUACCGGUAUACUUUAACAAAAGCCAGAGCACUUCCUUCCUAAAUUAACCUAUAAAAACCCACCUUAAUAUCGCAGACUCAACUCCGACAUUAUUUAGUUGAUGUUUUUCUUUCUUUCUUAGACGAUAACACUACUUAGGAUAAAUUUGAGAGAAAACAACAGAUCAGUAGCAUCGGCAAGAGUGCAUGACAAUCUUAUAGGUUAUAAAGUCCGAAUAAACGCAUUCAAAGUA